rnacentral:lncRNA from 1 species
GGAGGACAAACACCACCUAGUCUCAGUUGCAGCCACCUCAACCACGCUCAUGCUCCUUUUUUGUGUUGAUCUUAUGCUGCUGGGUGACAGACAAAGAUACAAUGUUGCUUCUCUAAUCCAUCUUCUUUUUAUUUAUCACCAUACUUUGGUUCAUGUUUGCAUCCAUCAAACUAUGAGAUAAAUUAAAUUUCAUAUUUUAAUUAUGUAUUAACUAUACGUCUGUUUCCCAUGUAUGAAUCAUGUCUGACCAUUAGCUUUCCUAAAUGUAUGUCUCAUUUGGCCAAAUGCCAUCUAUAUAUGUCUGAUGAUUCGACACUAUAGAUAACAAGUUUUUCUACUGAUUUGAUGACAGAUGAAGUUGAAAUGUUGCCUCUUCUUUGAGUUAUAUUAAGAUAUCUAAAUAACCAAACAAGUGCUUCUUUACUAUUAUUUUAGUUAAGGCCAUCUUCUCUUUUCUAUUAUUUAUAGGUUGGACUGCAAUUUCAGUACGAUCUUCUAAAAAUAAAUUUAGAGAUGUCAAUCAACAGUUGAAUUUGACCAAUUGGUUUUUAAUGAGAAAUCCAACCCCUUUAAUUAUUAGGAUGUUUUAUAUAUUGAA